rnacentral:rRNA from 1 species
GUGCCAGCAGCCGCGGUAAUACGGGGGGUGCAAGCGUUGUUCGGAUUUAUUGGGCGUAAAGCGCGUGUAGGCGGUUUGUUAAGUCUGAUGUGAAAGCCCUGGGCUCAACCCAGGAAGUGCAUUGGAUACUGGCAGACUUGAGUACGGGAGAGGGUAGUGGAAUUCCCAGUGUAGGAGUGAAAUCCGUAGAUAUUGGGAGGAACACCGGUGGCGAAGGCGGCUGCCUGGACCGAUACUGACGCUGAGACGCGAAAGCGUGGGUAGCAAACAGGAUUAGAAACCCGUGUAGUCC